AAUGAACGCUGGCGGCAGGCCUAACACAUGCAAGUCGAACGGAUCCUUCGGGAUUAGUGGCGGACGGGUGAGUAACGCGUGGGAACAUACCCUUUGGUACGGAAUAGCCUCGGGAAGCUGGGAGUAAUACCGUAUGUGGUCGAGAGACGAAAGAUUUAUCGCCAAAGGAUUGGCCCGCGUUGGAUUAGGUAGUUGGUGGGGUAAUGGCCUACCAAGCCGACGAUCCAUAGCUGGUUUGAGAGGAUGAUCAGCCACACUGGGACUGAGACACGGCCCAGACUCCUACGGGAGGCAGCAGUGGGGAAUCUUAGACAAUGGGGGAAACCCUGAUCUAGCCAUGCCGCGUGGUCGAUGAAGGCCUUAGGGUUGUAAAGAUCUUUCAGGUGGGAAGAUAAUGACUGUACCACCAGAAGAAGCCCCGGCUAACUCCGUGCCAGCAGCCGCGGUAACAC
rnacentral:rRNA from 1 species